GUAACUGCGAGUGAAGCGGGAAAAGCUCAAAUUUAAAAUCUGGCGGUCUUUUGGCUGUCCGAGUUGUAAUCUAGAGAAGUGUUAUCCGCGCUGGACCGUGUACAAGUCUCCUGGAAUGGAGCAUCAUAGAGGGUGAGAAUCCCGUCUUUGACAUGGACUACCAGGGCUUUGUGAUGCGCUCUCAAAGAGUCGAGUUGUUUGGGAAUGCAGCUCAAAAUGGGUGGUAAAUUCCAUCUAAAGCUAAAUAUUGGCGAGAGACCGAUAGCGAACAAGUACCGUGAGGGAAAGAUGAAAAGAACUUUGGAAAGAGAGUUAAACAGUACGUGAAAUUGCUGAAAGGGAAACGCUUGAAGUCAGUCGCGUCGUCCAGGGAUCAACCUUGCUUUUGCUUGGUGCACUUUCUGGUUCGAUGGGUCAGCAUCAAUUUUGACUGUUGGAAAAAGGUUGAGGGAAUGUGGCAUCUUUGGAUGUGUUUAUAGCCCUUGGUCACAUACAAUGGUUGGGAUUGAGGAACUCAGCACGCCGCAAGGCCGGGUUUUAAACCACGUACGUGCUUAGGAUGCUGGCAAUAUGGCUUUAAUCGACCCGUCUUGAAACACGGACCAAGGAGUCUAACAUGCCUGCGAGUGUUUGGGUGGAAAACCCGAGCGCGUAAUGAAAGUGAAAAGUUGAGAUCCCUGUCGUGGGGAGCAUCGACGCCCGGACCAGACCUUUUGUGACGGUUCCGCGGUAGAGCAUGUAUGUUGGGACCCGAAAGAUGGUGAACUAUGCCUGAAUAGGGUGAAUCCAGAGGAAACUCUGGUGGAGGCUCGUAGCGAUUCUGACGUGCAAAUCGAUCGUCAAAUUUGGGUAUAGGG
rnacentral:rRNA from 1 species